GUGCUUCCUUCAGCAGCACAUAUACUAAAAUUGGAAUGAUGCAGAGAAUAGCAUGGUCCCUGUGCAAAAAUGACACAAAAAUUCAUGAAGCAUUUCAUUUUUAA